CUUACCUUAGGGUUUCCUCUGGGGUAAGUGAUUGCUUCUACACUGUGAAAAUUUGGCUGAGAGACUCAGACUGGUCAUGGGUAGACCUAUCUGGGGUUUGAUCGAUGCCACUCCUGGUUUCAGGAGCACCCUUCAUAAUAAACCUAGAAAUUCAGUAUUAUAAAGUUUAAUAAAAAACAACUUUUAACAAUGGAUCUCUUGGUUCUCGAUCGAUGAAGAACGUAGCAAAGUGCGAUAACUAGUGUGAAUUGCAUAUUCAGUGAAUCAUCGAGUCUUUGAACGCAGCUUGCACUCUAUGGUUUUUCUAUAGAGUACGCCUGCUUCAGUAUCAUCACAAACCCACACAUAACAUUUGUUUAUGUGGUGAUGGGCCGCAUCGCUGUUUUAUUACAGUGAGCACCUAAAAUGUGUGUGAUUUUCUGUCUGGCUUGCUAGGCAGGAAUAUUACGCUGGUCUCAGGAUCUUUUUUUUGGUUCGCCCAGGAAGUAAAGUACAAGAGUAUAAUCCAGUAACUUUCAAACU
rnacentral:rRNA from 1 species